rnacentral:rRNA from 1 species
UACAGAGGGUGCGAGCGUUGUUCGGAAUUAUUGGGCGUAAAGCGCUUGUAGGCGGCUUGUUAAGUCGCGUGUGAAAUCCCCAGGCUCAACCUGGGAAGUGCGCGCGAAACUGGCGAGCUUGAAUGCCGGAGAGGGUCGCGGAAUUCCCGGUGUAGAGGUGAAAUUCGUAGAUAUCGGGAGGAACACCAGUGGCGAAGGCGGCGACCUGGACGGACAUUGACGCUGAGACGCGAAAGCAUGGGGAGCGAACAGG